AAAGACUAUCGCACACAUUACAGAGCGAUGCGCGGCUUCAGCUCUAUAAAGGAAGACUUUUUUACAAUCAAGACUUUAGCUCUUCUUAAUAAGAGUAUAUGAAGCCGGCCGAAACCACGAAGCUCACGGAUCACAUUGAAAGAACACUGUCUCCCAACUAGCUGCGCUGAUUUGGGUUUUCCCCAGUUUUAUAGCGGGCGAGUGCAGGCUUAAAGAAUUUCAAUUUUGCCUUCAUUCUAGACUUGACACAUAACGGCAAUAUAAUGGCUUCAAAGCCUAAGUGGCUGUAUGAAGGAAAGAAAGGAGUUUAUUAUCCGUUCGAGCCACAGACGCAAACCUAUUUGGAAGAUCAAAAGCAGGCAAAGGCUCAAAAAUGCAAACUGACAAUAAACAACGAGCUGUACGACAUUGACCUGGAAAAAAUGAAGCAAACGAAAAGGUCGGACCAGACGAAAGUGCGGAAAAUCAAGCGGGAGCUCAUCCCAGUCCCAGUCAUCCCUUCUCAACCGAUUUUGUCGGCUAUGAAUCUGAACCCCAUGAUGUCAGCCUUUGCUUCAGCUGCCCAGCAGCAAACACCUCAAUAUCCACCUCCUCAGCCCAUGAUGCAAGUCGCACCUCAAGCUCUAGCACCAGUAGCCGCUGCUCCGACAGCCCGCGCAAACCAAAAUAUUAACCGUGGAAACGUCAAUGGUGGAGGCCAACUCUACUUGUCUGAUUUUAUGAAUUGGAAUGUGACCACCUCUGUGAGAAAUUUGAUCAUCACUCUUAUGACUAUGAUUUUGGCAUGUGUUAUCAGCUCAAAGUAUUAAAAAAAUAUGGUCCAUCAGUGUUAUUUGCUUUGAAUUUGAAUCCUGGAUGAAAUAAAAUGUUUAUCUUUAUAAAAUGAAGUAAUAAAAAUAUUUAUAAUUAAAA